rnacentral:rRNA from 1 species
AGCCAGACUCCUACGGGAGGCAGCAGUGGGGAAUAUUGCACAAUGGGGGGAACCUUGAUGCAGCAACGCCGCGUGGGUGAAGAAGUACUCCGGUAUGUAAAGCCCUGUCAGCAGGGAAGAAAAUGACGGUACCUGACCAAGAAGCCCCGGCUAACUACGUGCCAGCAGCCGCGGUAAUACGUAGGGGGCAAGCGUUAUCCGGAAUUACUGGGUGUAAAGGGAGCGUAGACGGUGAUGCAAGUCUGGAGUGAAAGGCGGGGGCCCAACCCCCGGACUGCUCUGGAAACCGUAUGACUUGAGUGCAGGAGAGGUAAGCGGAAUUCCUAGUGUAGCGGUGAAAUGCGUAGAUAUUAGGAGGAACACCAGUGGCGAAGGCGGCUUACUGGACUGUAACUGACGUUGAGGCUCGAAAGCGUGGGGAGCAAACAGGAUUAGAUACCCUCGUA